AAGUCGUAACAAGGUUUCCGUAGGUGAACCUGCGGAAGGAUCAUUAUUGAAUAAACCUGGCUUGCUGAUGCUGGUCUCCUCGGAGGCAUGUGCUCGCUUGUCCAUCUUUAUAUCUCCACCUGUGCACACUCUGUAGACUUGUAUUGAGGCUGGGGAAGUCAAUUCUCUGGCAGCUUUGCUUUCUACGUUUUUUCAUAUACUCCAUGAAAUGUAACAGAAUGUAUCACUAGGUCUUUGAACCUAUAAAACAAUAUACAACUUUCAGCAACGGAUCUCUUGGCUCUC
rnacentral:misc_RNA from 1 species